rnacentral:rRNA from 1 species
CCUACGGGAGGCAGCAGUGGGGAAUAUUGCACAAUGGGGGAAACCCUGAUGCAGCGACGCCGCGUGAGUGAAGAAGUAUUUCGGUAUGUAAAGCUCUAUCAGCAGGGAAGAGAAUGACGGUACCUGAGUAAGAAGCCCCGGCUAACUACGUGCCAGCAGCCGCGGUAAUACGUAGGGGGCAAGCGUUAUCCGGAUUUACUGGGCGUCAAGCGUGCGCAGGCGGUGUGUUAAGUCUAAAAUCAAAGGCC